AACUGAAUAUUAAUGGUGCCGUAGACAGCAGGGGCCAGGUGCUUAAUAAUCCUGCCGAGGGACUUAAAAUUGGUUUUUCAAUUUGUCCUGUCCACGCACAGGACUUUAUUUUUUUAUAG
rfam:Chloroflexi bacterium RBG_16_48_7 RBG_16_scaffold_16147, whole genome shotgun sequence.